CCUAGGCGUCUACGUCCCAGCGUGAGGGCGUCGCAGCCGGGAACCGGGAGCUGGGUGGAAGCGGAAAUGAGGAAGACGGGUAGCUGGAGUUGCGGCAGAGGGGAAUAACCCCCACCCCCAACCCCACUAGGCCAAACUCAGCUCGGAGCUAAGGAUGUACUGUGUGAGGUGUGAAGACGACCAGAGCCCACCCUCCUUCGCACCUUUGAAGAUGGAGGAGACCACAUGGCAAGCAAUGCAGGUGGUCUCUAUUUGCUAAAAGUGGCCCCUAGCUGAUGACCAGCAAGAAGAUAGAAACCACUGUCUUAUAACCAAAAGUAACUGAAUUCUGCUUAACCAUGUGAGCCCCCAGUCUUGUGGAAGAGGACUCCAAGCUUCAGAUAAGAACACAGUUCAACUGACAUCCUAAUUUCAGCAUCGUGAGAACCUUAAGAGAGAGCCCAAGCACCCAGUGCUUGGUCUUCUAACCUACAGACCUGUGAAAUACGUAAAUGUUUUAAACCACUAAAUUUGUGGUAAUUUGUUAUGCAGUAAUAAAAAACUAAAAAUGUC